rnacentral:lncRNA from 1 species
AAUUCAGCUCAGUCUCCUGUGCCUGUCACAUCUAGAGCUUUGCUUUUGUACACUGAGAAUUCACGCUCAGAAUACUGACUUCAAAACUCUGCAGGAUCUUAAAGAGAAGGUUUACUACAGCUGCUCAAAGAAAAUAGACCCAGAAUAAGAAAAUGUCCACUUGGAUUUAGGAAACUAGCAAAUUCAUUCAGGUAUGAUCAAAAACCAACCAAUCAAAAUAAGGGACAAAGGUGGCGGAGGAGCUUAAUCUGCAGUUCCACAAGAUCCCACCUUACUUAUGAUCUGCUGAUUAGGAAAAGCCAUAAGAGUAAAUGGGACUAUAAGGAAUCAGACCUUCCUCCUUAAGAAAGACUGGUCACAUCCUUCCUGCUGGGAAUUAUGUAGGUCUUAACUCCUCCCAAUGGUGGUAAUCCCCUUAUUGCUCAAGCCUUGGAACAGCAAAAUGACAUGACCAAAAAGAAAUGCAAAGAGCAGACAUACCUGGACUGACUCUUGGAGUAGUCAGGCUGCAUUCUUUCCACAGAAUACACUUGAUUUUUUUUUUCCUACUUUUUUUUUCCCCCUAAAAGCAACACCGAUUUUUGAUGGAUAGUUAGAGGCAGCUCCUAG